GAUCCUACGGGAGGCAGCAGUGGGGAAUAUUGCACAAUGGGCGCAAGCCUGAUGUCAGCCAUGCCGCGUGUAUGAAGAAGGCCUUCGGGUUGUAAAGUACUUUCAGCAGUGAGGAAGGUGGGUAUGUUAAUAGCAUAUUCAUUUGACGUUAGCUGCAGAAGAAGCACCGGCUAACUCCGUGCCAGCAGCCGCGGUAAUACGGAGGGUGCGAGCGUUAAUCGGAAUUACUGGGCGUAAAGCGCAUGCAGGUGGUUUGUUAAGUCAGAUGUGAAAGCCCGGGGCUCAACCUCGGAAUUGCAUUUGAAACUGGCAAACUAGAGUACUGUAGAGGGGGUAGAAUUUCAGGUGUAGCGGUGAAAUGCGUAGAGAUCUGAAGGAAUACCGGUGGCGAAGGCGGCCCCCUGGACAGAUACUGACACUCAGAUGCGAAAGCGUGGGGAGCAAACAGGAUUAGAUACCCUGGUAG
rnacentral:rRNA from 1 species